GGGGGAAUGUGUGGUUUGCUAAAUUAAUAUUGGUUCACAAAGGGAUUCACUUCCUUGGCAGACAGGUAUUGUCAAUCAUGUAUGAUCUGUGCCACAAGCAAAGUGGACAGAGGGGCAAAUGAUGUCUCAAGUUAACAGCUAGAGACGUAAAUGCCAAUGAUGAUUGGGAAUGGAAUUGGUUUAAGGGUUUAUGGCAGAAAGAAGAAUACAUUGGGUUAAUUGCCAUCUCAGCACUGGCCAUGAUUUUAUUUUUGCUGUGUAUGUGGCCUUGUGUAGUGGAAAAGAUUAGAAGAGCUGUAAAUUCAAUCAUGAAAUCUUUAGUAGUUCAUCAGAUGUUAAUGUAUAAUGUCUUGAGUGAAAGUAAGAAUAAUGUGAGGGCUUCUGAUGAAAAUGAUGCUUGCUUAUAUGUUAGGAAUGACUAUGUUCCAUAAAAAACAAUGCAAAUGC